rnacentral:rRNA from 1 species
GAUGAACGCUGGCGGCGUGCCUAAUACAUGCAAGUCGAGCGAAAGGAUGCGAAGCUUGUUUCUCUGAUGUUAGCGGAGGACGGGAGAGUAACACGUGGAUAACCUACCUAUAAUACUGGGAUCACUUCGGGAAACCGGCGCUAAUCCCGGAUAAUAUUUUGCACCGUAUGGUUCAAUAGUAAAAGACGGCCUUGCUGUCACUUCUAGCUGGUUCCGGGCUGCAUUAGCUAGUUGGUACGGUAACGGCUUACCAAGGCAACGAUGCAUAGCCGACCGGCGAGGGUGAUCGGCCACACGGGAGCUGAGACACGGUCCAGGCUCCUACGGGAGGCAGCAGUAGGGAAUCGUCCGCAAUGGGCGAAAGCCUGACGGAGCAACGCCGCGUGAGUGAUGAAGGUCUUCGGAUCGUAAAACUCUGUUAUUAGGGAAGAACAUAUGUGUAAGUAACUGUGCACAUCUUGACGGUACCGAAUCAGAAAGCCACGGCUAACUACGUG